UGAAUACGAGACGCUACGGCGUCGAAGCAGUCUAUGUCAUACUUCCAAGAAAAGCUUGCACUGUCAUAAACAAAUAAUGCCUGUACCAUAACCGACACAGGUGGGUAGGUAGAGUAUACUAAGGGGCGCGAGAUAACUCUCUCUAAGGAACUCGGCAAAAUGACUCCGUAACUUCGGGAGAAGGAGUGCCUUAUUUAUAAGGUUGCAAUAACAAGAUCCAAGCAACUGUUUACCAAAAACACAGGUCUCCGCUAAGUCGUAAGACGAUGUAUGGGGGCUGACGCCUGCCCAGUGCCAGAAGGUUAAAGAAGUCGGUUAGCAUUAGCGAAGCUGGUAACUGAAGCCCUGGUGAACGGCGGCCGUAACAAUAACGGUCCUAAGGUAGCGAAAUUCCUUGUCGGGUAAGUUCCGACCCGCACGAAAGGCGUAAUGAUUUGGAUACUGUCUCGGAGAGGGACUCGGUGAAAUAGACUUGUCUGUGAAGAUGCGGACUACCUGCACCAGGACAGAAAGACCCUAUGAAGCUUUACUGUAACUUGAAAUUGAAAUUGGACUUUAUUUGCGCAGUAUAGGUGGGAGGUGUUGAGAGUAUUCUUGCGGGAAUAUUGGAGCCAUCAGUGAGAUACCACUCUUGUAAUGUUAGAUUUCUAACUUUGUAUCAUUAUCUGGUCAAAGGACAGUUUCAGGCGGGCAGUUUGACUGGGGCGGUCGCCUCCUAAACGGUAACGGAGGCGCACAAAGGUUUCCUCUGAACGGGUAGAAAUCGUAUCUAGAGUGUAAAGGCGUAAGGAAGCUUGACUGUGAGACCUACAAGUCGAGCAGGGACGAAAGUCGGUCUUAGUGAUCUGACGGUGCUGAGUGGAAAGGCCGUCACUCAACGGAUAAAAGUUACUCUAGGAUAACAGGCUGAUCUCCCCCAAGAGUUCACAUCGACGGGGAGGUUUGGCACCUCGAUGUCGGCUCAUCGCACCCUGGGGCGGUAGUACGUCCCAAGGGUUGGGCUGUUCGCCCAUGAAAGCGGUACGCGAGCUGGGUUCAGAACGUCGUGAGACAGUUCGGUCCAUAUCCGGUGUAGGCGUUAGAAUAUUGAGAGGAGCCUUCUUUAGUACGAGAGGACCGAGAAGGACAUACCUCUGGUGUACCAGUUAUCGUGCCAACGGUAAACGCUGGGUAGCUAUGUAUGGAGAGGAUAACCGCUGAAAGCAUCUAAGUGGGAAGCCCACCUCAAGAUAAG
rnacentral:rRNA from 1 species